rnacentral:rRNA from 1 species
CACGCCGCAAACGAUGAGUGCUAGGUGUUAGACCCUUUCCGGGGUUUAGUGCCGCAGCUAACGCAUUAAGCACUCCGCCUGGGGAGUACGACCGCAAGGUUGAAAUUCAAAGGAAUUGACGGGGGCCCGCACAAGCGGUGGAGCGUGUGGUUUAAUUCGAAGCAACGCGAAGAACCUUACCAGGUCUUGACAUCCCUCUGACCGCUCUAGAGAUAGAGUUUUCCUUCGGGACAGAGGUGACAGGUGGUGCAUGGUUGUCGUCAGCUCGUGUCGUGAGAUGUUGGGUUAAGNNNNNNANCGAGCGCAACCCCUAUUGUUAGUUGCCAUCAUUCAGUUGGGCACUCUAGCGAGACUGCCGGUAAUAAACCGGAGGAAGGUGGGGAUGACGUCAAAUCAUCAUGCCCCUUAUGACCUGGGCUACACACGUGCUACAAUGGCUGGUACAACGAGUCGCAAGCCGGUGACGGCAAGCUAAUCUCUUAAAGCCAGUCUCAGUUCGGGUUGUAGGCUGCAACUCGCCUACAUGAAGUCGGAAUCGCUAGUAAUCGCGGAUCAGCACGCCGCGGUGAAUACGUUCCCGGGCCUNG